rnacentral:rRNA from 1 species
GACGAACGCUGGCGGCGUGCUUAACACAUGCAAGUCGAACGAUGAAGCCUAGCUUGCUAGGUGGAUUAGUGGCGAACGGGUGAGUAAUACGUGAGUAACCUACCUUUAACUCUGGGAUAAGCCUGGGAAACUGGGUCUAAUACCGGAUACGACCAAUCUCCGCAUGGGGUGUUGGUGGAAAGCGUUAUGUAGUGGUUAUAGAUGGGCUCACGGCCUAUCAGCUUGUUGGUGAGGUAACGGCUCACCAAGGCGACGACGGGUAGCCGGCCUGAGAGGGUGACCGGCCACACUGGGACUGAGACACGGCCCAGACUCCUACGGGAGGCAGCAGUGGGGAAUAUUGCACAAUGGGCGCAAGCCUGAUGCAGCGACGCCGCGUGAGGGAUGACGGCCUUCGGGUUGUAAACCUCUGUUAGCAGGGAAGAAGAGAGAUUGACGGUACCUGCAGAGAAAGCGCCGGCUAACUAC